rnacentral:rRNA from 1 species
CAUCUGAAAUGAAGUAGGACCACCCGCUGAACUUAAGCAUAUCAUUAAGCGGAGGAAAAGAAACUAACCAGGAUUCCCUCAGUACGGGCGACGGAAGCGGGAAAAGCCCACACUGGUAAUCUCCGGGCGUUAGCUCGGCGAAUUGUAAUCUGAAGUCAGGUAGUCUAACUGGGUCGGGCGUCGAAGUGCGCGCGAGCGCGCCGCCAAAGAGGGUGAGAGCCCCGUAAGAGGCCGGAUCCUACC